GACGAACCGUGCGAACGUUGUUCGGAAUCACUGGGCUUAAAGGGCGCGUAGGCGGGCUGCCGCGUCCGGGGUGAAAUCCCACGGCUCAACCGUGGAACGGCCUCGGAUACGGGCGGCCUGGAGGGGGGUAGGGGCGUGCGGAACUGUGGGUGGAGCGGUGAAAUGCGUUGAGAUCCACAGGAACUCCGGUGGCGAAGGCGGCACGCUGGACCCCAUCUGACGCUGAGGCGCGAAAGCCAGGGGAGCGAACGGG
rnacentral:rRNA from 1 species